UCAAGGUCGAUUCUGUCUUGAGACAUUACUUAUCUUAAAACUACAUCCUGUAUCCUAUUUUUAACAUGUAACAUCUGCAAAGGGGUCCAUGUGCCUUGUAACACUAAUUCCCUGUAUGGCUUUAUAAUAACUUUCUAAAUAGGUACAGUUUAGUUAGCAUGAAUCAUCUUUGUUUAUCACAGAAAAUAUGAGGGGAGGUAAAGAGUGUCAUGGAGUAAAUUCUUCAUGUAAAGUUUUUGAGAUCUCUGGCCUCUCUCCCUUCCUAAUCCAAGGGAGAGGUUGGACAGCAUGCUGCAACCAGACUCCAAAUCCAGAUAUCCCAUCUCUAACUGGCCAGACUGACUUGACUGUCAGCAUGGCAGUGUGCACACAGAUGUCAUUGCUCAGAAGGACCUGUGCAAGGCAUCACUGCUGCAGGCUCUGCUGAUCCCACUCAUACAGGUAUUUCCUCUAGAAAAUGAAUCAUGAAUCUUCAAUCCACCUCCCCUUUGCUUUCCAUGAAGAGGAUUUUAAAGAGCACUUCUCUGCAGCGGGGUUCUGCCAUCAUCAGGCAUGAAGCUAUUGCUGGGGGGGCAGCACACCAAAUAAGCUUUAUUGAUGACUGAACCCUAUAAACAAAGCUUUUGCUAUUUGACAAAGUCCUGAAGGUAUUUGUAACAUGUUUACAAAAGGUGAAAAGUUCCUGUAGGAGACACAGCAGAACUAUAAUAUUUAUGGCUUUAUUAUCAGCAGAUACCUGUAAAAGAGAAUUGUAACCUCUGAGUUCAAUCAUGCAAAAUGAACUUAGCAUGUAGGCUGCCAGUGCUUAGAGCUAACACAGAGUAUACAGAAUACUGUCAAGCGCUUAUUUUGAUACAUGAUUUUAAUUUUUCCCUGACACAUAAAUCAUCAGGGGUGUCUUUGCAAUCUGGAGCUAAUGCUCCAGACUGUGAGCAGUACUUUGAUUUGCCAUCUGAAACUUUAACAUGUAUUUGAGGGCUUUCUUUGUAAAGCAUUAUUCUGAAACACACUGAAUCUGCCAGGCAUUUCACUUGAGGUAAAGGCACAGAAAGAUCUAGUGUAGUCUCAACUCCAGCUGAGAGGGCAGAGUGUCAGGGAACCUGGACUUCUAUGCACGUUACUUGAGUUUAGCUUGGUUUAACAUCUGUUACUUGGGUGAGUUCUGCAAGGGCAGAUCAUCCCCUCUUCAACUUGGAGGAGCUUACAAGCAGUUUAGGGCAUUUGGCUGAUGUAGUUACUUUUACAGGCUGUAGAGCUGAUACUGCCAGGUGGAAUUAGGUUUCUGAAAUGAUUUCUUUAUAAACCUCUGUCUUUGAUUACUUCUAAUUUUGCUGAUGGUAUCUAAGAGCUAAAGUGGUUAUGUGAUUUCUGAGAAUACCCUUAAGUAAAGUUACUUAGGUUGUGUUGCGCCCUUGAGAGAAAAAAAUCUUGUGCCACACUGAUCUCUUGCAAGGGAUGAAGGAUUUAAAACCCUGUAAGAAGGUAAGUCACUCUGGUGCUUGAAAUGUCCCCCUGCUGUCUGUGGGAUAGAGCCACUGGAAAAAUUACAAACUUUUGAAGAAUACAGGCCAUGCAACUUGGUAAAGUCCUAGAGCUUGCUGGCUAAAUCCUUUAUAGAGGGCAUGUCCUGUCCUGGUCUGCACAUGAUGAAGAAGGCUCUUCCAUCAAUCACUGCUCCUCACUUCAGCAGCCUACUGCAACUUCAGGUGCUAGAUCCACUAGUGAUGGGGCAAGGGUUGUUCAGGGGAAUUCAGCAUAUAGACUUGAAUAAGGAGAACACUUAAGAAAGUUUUUUGAGGGGAAGGAUAAUUGUAGUGAAUUCCAUCAAGGUGGGAGGUGGAGUAAAAGCCAAGGACUGACUGUGCAAGAAGUCUUGCAAUAUAAGAACUUGGAAAGGAUCCUGAGGCUGAUGGGACUUGCUUUGCUUUUUCCCUCUUUUUUUUUGGCCGAUAUCUAGAAAUUAACAUUCUAGAUGCUACAUGCUGAGUUUGCAACAGUUGGUACAAAGGGCUGGGAAAUACCAGAAUUAGGGACUUUCCCCAUGCUCUUCUCACCCACACUUCUUAGCACAGAAGUUAUUCUCAUGACACUGUCACAUGCUAUUUUUUCCACAGAAUUCAUGUCUCAUUUAUUGUACUGGAGAAAUGAGGCUCCUGGCUUGAGUAGGUCUUGAAGAUGAGUAAAAUGCCUGUGGUUCUGCUUUUUUUUUACCUCUUGCAGAAAAUAGAAGAUUGCCACUGAACAAGAAUUUCAAAGUUAGGAAAGAAAUUUGUGCUUGAGGUCCAGCUUUUCCUUCUGUGAAUCCCAGGCAUGGAAAAUGAAAGCCCUCGCACCUCGGUUAAUAAGGGUAGUACCUGGACCUCAGCACACAGAGCAUUGGGAACUGUGACCACAGGUAGGAUGCUCAAAUGCAACACCAGGAUGUUCUCCAGUCUCCUACAAACCUCAUUCCAGAGUGCAGUAUCAGAGAAGACUUGCUGGCAUGUGUCACGCCAACACUGUAAAACUACACGGGAAUUGCCUAUUAAAUGGAUUCAAAGUGCUUCAUGUUGAUGGAUACUUUUCCUACUAAUAGUAGUAACCAAAGAAAAAGAUAAAAAAAUGCCAUUUGAAAAGAGAGAUGUAAAAUUAUAUGUACUCAAAAGUCAAGUGUGACAUGAAUGAGAGAAAAUAUCUGAGAACAUAAUGGUGUCCUAGCAGGACUGGGAGAGAAGCUUCUCCCCAACCACAUUUUUCUCUGUUGAGAAAAGCUUCUCCCCAGCCACAUUUCCAAGGCAGACCAUCUCCUUGAAAAAUGUUUGUGCAGGGCUGCAGAAAUGGAAGAGGCCCCUAGAUGCCAAUAGCUGUCUCUUGUCCCCAUGGAGAUGUCACUUGUGGUGCCUAUCAUCUGGCUGGAUGACCACCCUUGUGGAUGGCUGGCACCAGAGGGGAUUUGGGAUGCCUUGAACUGCAACAUGCUAUCCUGCUUUUUAAAACAAGCUAAGUGCCAGAUGCCAGGAGAGUCCCUUGCCAGGGUGUGUGUCAUCUCACUGAAGUUCAGGAUGCCCUGGUGCAACAUGAGGUGGAGUGACAGUGCUUUCCACCCAUGCAAGGUAAAUGCACCCUGGCUGUUGCCUUUUAGCCUUGGCCAGGUGCUGCUGCACUUCACCAUCUGCAGCAGCCCAGAGGAAUGUGAGAUGUGCUUUGCUAAACUACAGCUCAAACAGGGAUUGCAAGCAAGUGUAACUUCACCCAAUUUCACCAUGGAUUUGUUUGCAGAACCCCCUCCCCUCAGUGGGAAAACUGACCCCCCAGGUAUCAAAAGUUGGAUGAAGACCAGUCAUCAUGAGGACAUCCUGCUUCAGCCCUGUGCCUGACAAAGGCCCUGAUGGUGCCAGCAACACAGAGAAACACAGGCCUAGACAUUUCUUCAGCUCCAAGUAAAUUCUACCUUGGGGAAGACCCUGUGGAAGCUGGGCCUCAGGAAGAAGUUGAAAAUUAGGCUAUGAACUUAAAGGAAACCUCAUGACAACAGUAAAGUUUGUAACCAUGACUCAUUGGAAUGUCUUGGAAAAAAGAAGAGGCUGCGUGCCAAGAGGCUAUUGAUCACGUUGCUAAAUAAAGUAGUACCCUCACUUCACGGGAAGUUCUUCUAGAAGCGCCUGCUAAGGAUUGAUGAGGAAAAGACUGGAGCCAUCCCAGCACGCCAGCCUGGCACAACACAUGCACAGCUGCAAAUGGAGGCCAGGUCCAAUACCAGCCCCUGAGCCAGAGCCUCCCAAAUCACCACCCAUCAGAAGGCACAGAUGGAGCUGAAGGGCCGUCACACAGCUGUCCAAAGACACGUGGGGAAAAGUGGCGUGACAGGAUGGACUUGCCUGCUGUCUCCUUCCACAGGAAAGCAAGGAGUGCUGCUAGGGAGUUCCCAACCAAAGAGCCUAAUCACCAGAUGAGUGGGCAGCCAGCAAAAAUGCUGCUGCUCCUUACUGGGGUCAUAGGAAUGAGAGUAUAAUGAGAGAAUGAGAGACCCACUGUGGGGUCAAGCAGUGAGUCCACAUUUUCAUCAUCUGUUCAAGAUUCUAUGGCUUGUCCUUGAUACCACAGAAUAGAAUAAGCCACAGUGUUUCUGUUCUCUAUGCUAUGAAUAAUGUCCCUAAGUGACUUUGGUAACAUGCCACCCCAUCUUAAUUCCAAGUGAACAUGUCAAGAAAGGAAAUGAAAAAGUACCAAAAGGAUGCCAAGGUCAUGCUCUGGGUAGAAACCUUGAUCCAAGGAGGGUGGUACGAUUGUUGAAGUGGUGAGCACUGCUUAAAGAACUGUUAGAAACACAAACAGUGCAAAAAAGGUAAAUCAUGGAGCAACCUAGUGCAAACAUACAUUACUGUUCUGAAAACCAACAAUACUUCUACAGCCAUCAUCCACCUGCUUCUUUAUUGAUCUAGACAUCCCAGAGUCAGUCUUGCUACAGCUUUUAAUCUAUGAUGAAAGGUAAGAGGAGGGUUUCACAGAGGUGCUGGAGGGACUAGUCAAGGGGUAUCCUUUAUCUGUCAUGAAUGGCUUUGAGGAUCUGAAAAACAAAGGUCCUGUUCCUUGCUGUUAGCUGGGGUCCUUUGGUCAUGCUUACUCCACCAUGAAUACUGAUGCUUACUUAAGCCCGACUAUGCCGUAUACUGCGUCAACCACAUACAUCUAAAGAAAGUUAACACCAUACUAUUUAGAAAAUCAAUACACUUUCAUAGUAUAAAGACUAUUUUGUACAAUAGUUAAUGCGAUUUUCCUCAUGUGGGCUGAGGCCAUUAGAUGGGGUCUGGAGGCCUAGCAAGAGAGAGGCAAAGCCAAAAAUACCCUCUGCUGUCCAGCUGCAGCCCAAAAAGCAGCUGGACGUGGGUAUCUCCCCAUUGGAUUGACAGGCUUUCCGCUUCUCGGAGCGUUUGUUUACAGCUGUGUCUAAAAUAAACGUUGCCUAACUUUUUUUUUCUGCUGCUGUUAUUCCUGCGGAGCAAGUCGGAUUCCUCGCUGACUCACGCAUGAUUAACUAACUUCCAGCUGCAUUAUCUUUAUUGUUGCUGCCGAUGCACAAGCCAGUGCUCAGCACGACUCGUGGAUCCCAAGCUGUGCUGGCGAGGCUGCCACUUACAGAAAUGGAUUUUUUCCCCUAACAGUUGUGGGGUUUGGGAAAUGUUACUAUUUUUUAUUUGUGUACUUAUUGAUUUAAGAGACAGCAUGUACCGGCUUUCUCGGGGACCAGAGAAACAGAAAUAAACAAGCGAUAACUCUC